ACCUUUAAAUGUUGGAGGGAGGAGGAGGAACCCAAGAAGGCAGAGCCAAGAAAGGAAAUAGAGAGAAGGGUGAAAUGAAACCCUUGGUAUAGAUGACCUCAAACCACCCUACUGUGUUUAGUUUUUUGAUGAGAAGAAGGACAGUUAUCCAAUUGCUGCUGCUGUGCCUCUUGAAGAUAUUUUAAAGUAGCUCUUAAAAAAAACCAUAAAUCAUAAGAAGCCACAAUUGCCAGGACAUGGAAGCAACCUAGAUACCCAUCAGCUGACGAAUGGAUAAGAAAGC